UACGUAAGGACCGAGCGUUGUCCGGAAUCAUUGGGCGUAAAGGGUACGUAGGCGGUUAGAAAAGUUAGAAGUGAAAUGCUAUAGCUUAACGAUAGUAAGCUUUUAAAACUGCUCAUCUUGAGGUAUGGAAUGGAAAGUGGAAUGUCUAGUGUAGCGGUGAAAUGCGCAGAUAUUAGGAGGAAUACCGGUUGCGAAGGCGACUUUCUGGCCAUAAACUGACGCUGAGGUACGAAAGCGUGGGUAGCAAACAGG
rnacentral:rRNA from 1 species